rnacentral:ncRNA from 1 species
CUUCGGGGCAGGGUGAAAUUCCCUACCGGUGGUAUAGUCCACGACCACGCUUGCGUGCUGAUGAGGUGCAAUUCCUCAACCGACGGUACAGUCCGGAUGAAAGGAG